rnacentral:rRNA from 1 species
GUAACGCGUGGGAAUCUACCGUGCCCUACGGAAUAGCUCCGGGAAACUGGAAUUAAUACCGUAUACGCCCUUCGGGGGAAAGAUUUAUCGGGGUAUGAUGAGCCCGCGUUGGAUUAGCUAGUUGGUGGGGUAAAGGCCUACCAAGGCGACGAUCCAUAGCUGGUCUGAGAGGAUGAUCAGCCACAUUGGGACUGAGACACGGCCCAAACUCCUACGGGAGGCAGCAGUGGGGAAUAUUGGACAAUGGGCGCAAGCCUGAUCCAGCCAUGCCGCGUGAGUGAUGAAGGUCUUAGGAUUGUAAAGCUCUUUCACCGGAGAAGAUAAUGACGGUAUCCGGAGAAGAAGCCCCGGCUAACUUCGUGCCAGCAGCCGCGGUAAUACGAAGGGGGCUAGCGUUGUUCGGAAUUACUGGGCGUAAAGCGCACGUAGGCGGAUAUUUAAGUCAGGGGUGAAAUCCCGCAGCUCAACUGCGGAACUGCCUUUGAUACUGGGUAUCUUGAGUAUGGAAGAGGUUAGUGGAAUUGCGAGUGUAGAGGUGAAAUUCGUAGAU